rnacentral:rRNA from 1 species
AUUGAACGCUGGCGGCAUGCCUUACACAUGCAAGUCGAACGGUAACAGGUCUUCGGAUGCUGACGAGUGGCGAACGGGUGAGUAAUACAUCGGAACGUGCCCGAUCGUGGGGGAUAACGAAGCGAAAGCUUUGCUAAUACCGCAUAAGAUCUACGGAUGAAAGCAGGGGACCGCAAGGCCUUGCGCGAACGGAGCGGCCGAUGGCAGAUUAGGUAGUUGGUGGGAUAAAAGCUUACCAAGCCGACGAUCUGUAGCUGGUCUGAGAGGACGACCAGCCACACUGGGACUGAGACACGGCCCAGACUCCUACGGGAGGCAGCAGUGGGGAAUUUUGGACAAUGGGCGAAAGCCUGAUCCAGCCAUGCCGCGUGCAGGAUGAAGGCCUUCGGGUUGUAAACUGCUUUUGUACGGAACGAAAUGACUCUGGUUAAUACCUGGGGUCCAUGACGGUACCGUAAGAAUAAGCACCGGCUAACUACGUG